rnacentral:rRNA from 1 species
GACGAACGCUGGCGGCGUGCUUAACACAUGCAAGUCGAACGGAAAGGCCCUGCUUUUGUGGGGUGCUCGAGCGGCGAACGGGUGAGUAACACGUGAGUAACCUGCCCUUGACUUUGGGAUAACUUCAGGAAACUGGGGCUAAUACCGGAUAGGAGCUCCUGCUGCAUGGUGGGGGUUGGAAAGUUUCGGCGGUUGGGGAUGGACUCGCGGCUUAUCAGCUUGUUGGUGGGGUAGUGGCUUACCAAGGCUUUGACGGGUAGCCGGCCUGAGAGGGUGACCGGCCACAUUGGGACUGAGAUACGGCCCAGACUCCUACGGGAGGCAGCAGUGGGGAAUAUUGCACAAUGGGCGGAAGCCUGAUGCAGCAACGCCGCGUGCGGGAUGACGGCCUUCGGGUUGUAAACCGCUUUCGCCUGUGGCGAAGCGUGAGUGACGGUAAUGGGUAAAGAAGCACCGGCUAACUACGUG